GAGUUUGAUCCUGGCUCAGAACUAACGCUGGCGGCGUGUCUUAGUCAUGCAAGUCGAACGAGAAAGCGUUCUUCGGAACGCGAGUACAGUGGCGGACGGGUGAGUAACACGUGGGGAACCUGCCCUCAAGCUGGGAACAACCCGCCUAACGGCGGGCUAAUACCGAAUGUGGUUGUCGAACCGCAUGGUAUGACAACUAAAGGUGGCCUCUCCCUGGAAGCUACCGCUUGAGGAUGGCCCCGCGCUCAAUUAGCUUGUUGGUAGGGUAACGGCCUACCAAGGCUACGAUUGAUAGCCGACCUGAGAGGGUGAUCGGCCACACUGGGAUUGAGAUAAGGCCCAGUCUCCUACGGGAGCCAGCAGUCUAGAAAUUUGGGCAAUGGGCGAAAGCCUGACCCAGCGACGCCGUGUGGGGGAUGAAGCUUCUCGGAGUGUAAACCCCUGUUAGGUGGGACGAAAUCCCGUAUGCGAAUAGCAGGCGGGUUUGACGGUACCGCCAGAGGAAGCUCCGGCUAACUCCGUGCCAGCAGCCGCGGUAAUACGGGGGGAGCAAGCGUUGUUCGGAGUUAUUGGGCGUAAAGGGCGUACAGGCGGUGGUGUCAGUCAGAUGUGAAAUCCCCCGGCUCAACCGGGGACCUGCAUUUGAUACUGCAUCACUUGAGUACAGGAGAGGAGAGCGGAAUUUUCGGUGUAGCGGUGGAAUGUGUAGAUAUCGAAAAGAACACCAGUGGCGAAGGCGGCUCUCUGGCCUGAUACUGACGCUGACGCGCGAAAGCUAGGGGAGCAAACAGGAUUAGAUACCCUGGUAGUC
rnacentral:rRNA from 1 species